GCUUAACUUAUUUCACUUUACUCGUAGUUAUUUCGAUUUUUCACUGAAUUUGAAGAAUGCUAUUCUCUAUCACACUUUAUUCAUAAUCACGCUAGCAAAUGCACUUUGAAUGUGUUUUUAUUAUUUUUCUAUCUUUUCUUUUCUUUAAAAUUUUCGUCCAUAUCUCCAACAAGAGUACCUUUCUGGGGGCAUAAGUAUGAGUCCAGCAAGGGCUGGCCUUGGCCUAAGGCCAACUAGGCCAUGGCCUCGGACCUCCAAUUUUUUGGGGGCUCAUAAAUAUCAUUCAGCCCACAUAUAUUUACAACCAGCACCAAAGCCUAAAAAAAACCUAUGGAUUUUAGCUAGGGAACACUCUGCCGAUGAAGAAUUCCAGGAAAGAAGAGAAUGGUUUCUAAGCCAUUAAGGAAGAAAAUUGAGACUCCAAGGAGUUGUCUGGCCAUGGUUUCUAAGCAAUUUUCUUUGUCUUCAUUCGAGCCCAAGGGAUUGUUUGGCUAUUCAUGUCUUGGAUCUUGAAGAUGGAAGACAUAGUGAAAACUGUUUCUAAGGUCAACUUUGAUCUGUAUAAUUUUUAAUCAAAUUCUUGAUUUUUCUUUUCAUUUUUUGAAUUCUUGCCCUUGAUUCUCUGUUCAUGAACUUUUUUUUUUUUAAUUACUUCGCUAUAAUUUACAGCGUCUUUGGUUUAGCUUUUACCUCACUUAUUUUGCUAAAAAAAGCUACUUUUUUCACUACCAAAUUUUACUUAUUCAGAAAGCAAUUUGCUGGUGAAACUGUUGUGCUAAAGACAUACUUUAAAUAUAGUUGAAAUAGGCUUUUUAUUGAGAUUUUGAUCUAGUAAGUAGCUGAAUUGAG
rnacentral:lncRNA from 1 species